UUGGCGCGGCAAAGAGUACUGGUAACCCUAAAUUCAGAAAAGUAGAGUGAAAGAUCAGUAGAAGAGAUAGAUGAAAGAGUAAGAUCGUCGAUAGAGGAAGGAAUAGAAAGGAAGCCUCCAGAAUAGAAUAAUAAAUUAAAAGUGUAGUUGAAGAAAUGGUUUGAAACCCAGCGGAAGGAAGCACUGAGAAUUGUGAGUAAAAUUAAAUUAGCUUUAAAUGAAUUUUAUAUGAAUAAAUCUAUUUAGUUUAAGCUGAUCAACAAAAUACCGACUUUGGAUCUGCUGUAAAAACAGUGCCGUGAUUGAAUCUCUCCCCGCUCCAACAAACUUAAAAAUUCUCAUUUCAACCGCUACAUACAGUGAAAUGAGUAGAAAGAAUUCAAAGCGAUCUGCGCCUGCGGACCAACAACGCAUCGAAGUUGAUGCGAACAAGAAGAGCCAGGCAAACAAUGGUUCCACUGAGGGUACCUCGGCUGCUGCGCUAACUGUUGGAAUGAUAGAGCUUGAGUUAGAUUAUCUGCAGAAAGAACGUUCGAUCAAACUCAAAGCCAUAGCGGACAGGGAGGCAGUAGAGCUAGCUGUUGCCCGAAAAAGUUAUUGUCUAAUGAAAUCCCGGUUGCAACUGCAGAAUGGUUGUGAUGGGAAUAGUUUCGAUGAUGCCGAUCCGGGCAGGAUGAAUGUUAACGACAGUGCAGAUGAAAUGUCUAUACCUGAUGCUUUUGAAUACAUUCCAUCGACCAGCAGUUCUCCAACAAGGAACCUACCGAUGACGUCAAAGUGUUUGCCAACUCCCCAGCAAGUCAGUGCUCGCCAGGUAAUGCCAAUGGAUUUACCAAUCUUUGCCGGAGACCCUGAAGAAUGGCCCGUGUUUUAUAGCCAGUUUAAGAAUACCACCGCGGCGUGUGGGUACAAUAAUUCGGAAAACUUGGUACGGUUGCAACGAUGCUUAAGAGGGCAAGCUCUAGAAUAUGUUCGCAGUCGUUUGUUAUUACCUGAAUUAGUUCCGAAGGUAAUUAAUACGUUAGAAAUGUUAUACGGAAAACCAACGGUAAUUAUCAAUUCAUUGGUCAAUAAGGUGCGAUCGAUGCCACCGCCUGAGAUGGAACGUUUAGACACCAUCAUCGACUAUGGGAUGGCGAUUCAAAACCUUUUUGAUCACAUGAAGGCAAUGAAUCAGUUGGAACACUUGCGAAAUCCAACUCUUUUGCAGGAGUUAGAGAUAAAGCUCCCCAGUGAAAUGAAAUUGCAGUGGGCAAAAUACAAGCGACAGAAUUCUCCGUCUUCGCUAAAGACGCUGAAUGAUUUCAUGAUUGAAAUAGUAGAAGUCGCUUGCGAGGUUUUUACCACGGGUUCAAAAGCUCGAACCGAUCGAGAGCAGAAUGAUGAAAUAUGCGAAACAGAUUCGAUAGUAGGAAGCCAGAAUAGCUAUUGUUUUAUUUGUAGGGAAAGAAGUCAUCGUGUGCAGGAUUGUGCUCAAUUUCAAUCGUUAGAUGUUUCUCAUCGUUGGCGUUUGAUAGGAGAACUGAAAUUAUGCCGAUGUUGUCUAGGUCGCCAUGCUACCAGGGUCUGCCAACAAGCGUAUGAGUGUGGAACAGAUCGAUGUCAGUUGUUGCACCAUCCAUUGCUACAUCAAGUUCGUAAUUGAUAGGGUGACCAGUGAGAUGCGCGCAUGAUUGAUUCUAGUAAAACUUCAUCCAAUAUGUAGUGUUACGGGGGUGGGGAUGUUGGCGCGGCAAAGAGUACUGGUAACCCUAAAUUCAGAAAAGUAGAGUGAAAGAUCAGUAGAAGAGAUAGAUGAAAGAGUAAGAUCGUCGAUAGAGGAAGGAAUAGAAAGGAAGCCUCCAGAAUAGAAUAAUAAAUUAAAAGUGUAGUUGAAGAAAUGGUUUGAAACCCAGCGGAAGGAAGCACUGAGAAUUUUUAAGCUGAUCAACAAAAUACCGACUUUGGAUCUGCUGUAAAAACAGUGCCGUGAUUGAAUCUCUCCCCGCUCCAACAACUACGCAUAG